CCAGCCCUCCUGCGCCUUCAGCUGCUCACUAGAUGUUCUCCACCAGGCUGGCCAGCUGCCACACAGGACAGGCGCCCUCCUUCUUGAACGGCUUCUUGCAGAGCAGACACGAAGGGUGCCCCACCAGACCUUGCUGGUGCAACUGUGGCAGAAGACGUGGCCACAGUCAAUGGUCAUGGGGUCCCGCAGGUGAUCCAGGCAGAUGGAGCAGGUCACCUCUUCUUCCAGGCUCCCCAGUGGGGCUGGCCUGGUCAUGGUACCCGUAGCUCAAAGGGUUCUCAGCUCACCUGUGGGGGCUUCUCCUUGGGGACCAGACACGGAGUCAAGAGCAGGCGCAGCAAAAGGGCAGAGGCGCGUUGGCCUGUGUAGGGCGCCAGCCCCAGACACCACCAACUCCCAGGAGGCUCUCAUGACCUCAGAGUGACAGGGACCUUGCCUAUCUCCAAUAGCUAGAUUUCAAGAAACCUAGUGCCUAGAUUGGAGUUAACCAUUUCUUCCUCCUGUAUCAAACCAAGACUGUCACGAUGUUAAGCUAGGGACUCCCUGUGUUGCCCAGGCUGGUAUGAAACUCCAGGCCUCAGGGGAUCCUCCAGCUAAAGCCUCCUGAGAUGCUGGAAUUCAGCAUCCAAUCCUCUGUGAUGUCUCAAAAUUUUAAUCACUGCUUGGAAAAGAGAAGUUUAAAGUAUUAAAGUAAAAUAAUCAGAGGAAAGAAGCAUUUGAUUUACAAAAUCCUGAAACAAUCACUUUCAUUUUGCUUUUGGCAUGUAUGCAAAGUCAGUGAUACUCCUCCUUUCUGGAGGUGCAGCUUAAUUCCCUCCCUGUGAGUGUGGCCUGGACUUAAUGGUUCACUUCUAACUGACAGAGCAACGCUGAUGUAACAGUUUGUGACUCUGGUGUAGGACAUAAAACUCACUGUGGAUUCCACCCUGCUUCUCCCUUUCUGGGAUGACGAGCUCUGGGGAAGCCAGUUGGUUUGUCAUAAGCAGCCCUGUGCAAAGCUCCACAUUCUAGAAACUGAGGGCUCCUGGGACCAGCCAACAAGCAGCUGAGGCCUCUUCCAGCAGUCACGAGAGUGAGCCACGUUUCAUGCAAUCCCCAGCCCCAGUCCAGCCCUCAGAUGACACUGCCUGGCUGACAACUGGACAGCUACCCUGUGAGAAGCCCUGAGCCAGGAGCACUUAGUGAAACCUCUCCUGGAUUCCUGACCACCAGAAACUGUGGGAAAUAAUAAAUAUUUGUUGUUUUGAGCUGCUAUGUUUUGGGUAAUUUCAUACACAGCAGUAGAUAAUAGAAUUUGCAAAGAAAGAAUGAAUUAUGGCACUUUAAUUUUCAUUUUCUCUACAUGAAUUAUAAGAUAUUAAACAUAUCAUUUGGCCUUAGGAUGUAAGAAGAACUUCCAUGGCCAAAUAGGGUGUAUUUUAUUACCACUCAUAACUAUCCAUUUACUUGACCUUCUAUUUCCAGCUGUGACCCAACUGAACAGAAAAGGAAGAUCCGGGCAUGCUAGGCUGAUUCUGUGAUGUCCCGCAAUAACCACCCCCUGCUUAUUCACCUUCCCCCGGUUACUCAAUCACCACUAAUGUAGGUGCUGCUGGGAAGGGACUUGCAGAUAUAACUAAGGUCCAAAAUCAGUUGACUUUAAGACAAGGGAUUAUCCUGGAUUGGACUGUCCUAAUCCAGGUGAGCCCUUAAAAGGACUGGGUUCUUCCUGAGUAUGAGAUUCACAGUGUGAAAGGGACCCAGUGUGAUAAAAUAACUUCACUGUGGGCUUUGAAAGUGGAGAAGCCGUGUGGCUAGGAAUGCUGGGGGCACCAGAAAGUGGGAGCAGCACCCCCUCAACCCCUGCCACCACCACAACCCCACUUACCUGAUAGCCAGCAAUGAAACAAGGACCUCAGUCCUACAACUGCCAGAAUCCGAAUUCUGCCCACAGGCUCCAGAUAAGCGUGGGGGAAGACACGACCUCAAGAUGAGGACACAACUUUGUGAAACCCUGAACAGAGAACACAUCCAUACCAUGCCAGAUAAGCACAUAGCAAUUUCUCGACUGCAGUGAACUUAUAAAGUAAUAUGUAAUAGUUGCAUGAAAUAAAAUCAUUCCUUUUUUAGUA